AAUCACUCGCUUUCAUUCCACCCACCUCCUCAAUCCACGAUCCAGGGGUGUAGCUCAAGAUUUUAUUUUUGGCUUCCUCCAAAUGGUCCUUAUGGAACUGCAGUUCCUCAUAGCUCUUGAGAACAUCCAUAUAUACAUUCCUUAUCUGCUUUUUAUUCAUCUCAUCAAUUAUAUCUGAAGAAGCUCUAACGAAUUCCUCCGAAUCCACAGAAAUAUUCUCUACUUUUGUGCCAAAACGAUCACUACCACUGAGCGAGCUUAGCGGGUUAUUAGGGAAGUUCUCAUCAAGAGAUGAUUCUUCAGUGGAAUGGAUGAUAGGAGAAUGAGGGGAUGUAGUAUCUCCACCCAUAACUGUAAGCCUGCAAAACUCUAU
rnacentral:misc_RNA from 1 species